GAUGAACGCUGGCGGCGUGCCUAACACAUGCAAGUCGAGCGAUUCUCUUCGGAGAAGAGCGGCGGACGGGUGAGUAACGCGUGGGUAACCUGCCCUGUACACACGGAUAAUAUACCGAAAGGUAUGCUAAUACGGGAUAAUAUGUUUUGACCGCAUGGUCGAAAUAUCAAAGCUCCGGCGGUAUAGGAUGGACCCGCGUCUGAUUAGCUAGUUGGUGAGGUAAUGGCUCACCAAGGCGACGAUCAGUAGCCGACCUGAGAGGGUGAUCGGCCACAUUGGAACUGAGACACGGUCCAAACUCCUACGGGAGGCAGCAGUGGGGAAUAUUGCACAAUGGGCGAAAGCCUGAUGCAGCAACGCCGCGUGAGCGAUGAAGGCCUUCGGGUCGUAAAGCUCUGUCCUCAAGGAAGAUAAUGACGGUACUUGAGGAGGAAGCCCCGGCUAACUACGUGCCAGCAGCCGCCGUAAGAC
rnacentral:rRNA from 1 species